GAUGAACGCUGGCGGCGUGCCUAAUACAUGCAAGUCGAGCGAACAGACGAGGAGCUUGCUCCUCUGACGUUAGCGGCGGACGGGUGAGUAACACGUGGAUAACCUACCUAUAAGACUGGGAUAACUUCGGGAAACCGGAGCUAAUACCGGAUAAUAUAUUGAACCGCAUGGUUCAAUAGUGAAAGACGGUUUUGCUGUCACUUAUAGAUGGAUCCGCGCCGCAUUAGCUAGUUGGUAAGGUAACGGCUUACCAAGGCAACGAUGCGUAGCCGACCUGAGAGGGUGAUAGGCCACACUGGAACUGAGACACGGUCCAGACUCCUACGGGAGGCAGCAGUUGGGAAUCUUCCGCAAAGGGCGAAAGCCUGACGGAGCAACGCCGCGUGAGUGAUGAAGGUCUUCGGAUCGUAAAACUCUGUUAUUAGGGAAGAACAAAUGUGUAAGUAACUAUGCACGUCUUGACGGUACCUAAUCAGAAAGCCACGGCUAACUACGUG
rnacentral:rRNA from 1 species